rnacentral:rRNA from 1 species
AUUGAACGCUGGCGGCAGGCCUAACACAUGCAAGUCGAACGAGUGGCGGACGGGUGAGUAAUGUCUGGGAAACUGCCUGAUGGAGGGGGAUAACUACUGGAAACGGUAGCUAAUACCGCAUACCAUCAGAUGUGCCCAGAUGGGAUUGGCUAGUGGGUGGGGUAACGGCUAACCAAGGCGACGAUCCCUAGCUGGUCUGAGAGGAUGACCGGCAAAACUGGAACUGAGAAAGGGUCCAGACUCCACGGGGAGGAAGCAGUGGGGAAUAUUGCCCAAUGGGCGCAAGCCUGAUGCAGCCAUGCGGCGUGUAUGAAGAAGGCCUUCGGGUUGUAAAGUACUUUCAGCGGGGAGGCGUUACCCACAGAAGAAGCACCGGCUAACUCCGUGCCAGCAGCCGCGGUAAUAC